GCUUCAGGGGAAGCUCUCAGGCCCAUGCAGACCCCAAGCUACAGCCUCCCUCGAUUGAAAACAAAGAAGCUGGACCUCCAGCCUGCACAGCUUUGUCACACAGGAUCACACACAGCUGUUCUACAAGCCAAACCUGCAUCACCCACCCCUAGCACUGGCACUACCCAGGUGGAUGUCACUACCUUAGGUGGCUCAGGGAAGAAAACCCCACAGCUCCUCCUAAGAGGUGAUAAACUCCCAAACCAGCAGCCAAGUCUCCCCAGGCCAAGGAAAGAGCCAGGAAAGAAAAAGAUGAUAUGUCAUCCCACAACUAAUGUGGUCUUUGUUUCAUCAUGCUGCACAAGCCAGGAAGACAUGGGGAAGGUACCUGCAGAACCAGCAGCAGGUCCCCUGUCACCUCCGAGACCAGGGAAGGCCCCCAACUGAGGGAGAUGCCACUUCUGUACCAUGGAGCUAUGCUCAAGGACACACAAGGGGCCUCAGCCAGCUGCUGCUUUUGCUCACACAGUCUGCCUGCAAGAAGAGCUGUACCCAGUCCAGGAGACCACCAAAGCCUACCCUGCUGGUUUGGGCCACAGCACCUUGGUCCCCAACCCACAGGGACACCCCAGCACCAGCUCCAAGCAGCCUCAGGAGAGACCAGGUGCACAAAACCAGGCCCUACCGGUACCCAGCCAUGCACAUACCUGGUUCAAAUGGCAGGAAGAGCCUCACAAGGGGCAUGAACCCACAAGAUGAAGCACAAAGGCUGGUAAUGGGGUCCAUCACCACAAUGAUGGUCCAUCCAUCCAGCAAUGAGCAAGCCAAGACCAUGGCUGCUUACCCCAACUUGUAAGCCACCAUCUCACAGCAGAGCUUAGGAAAGAACCAGCACCUUCAGGCUGAGCUGAAAUAGCCCCAGGAUGGGGGUGGGGGGCCCAGGUAGAGCCAAUUAGGGCCGUGAGGGCCCCUGAUUGCCUCCAGCUGCCACCACCUCUGUUGAGGGGCAGAUGCACCCGCCGCCAGAACCAUGUGGCAUGAGGGGCUUGUUUUCCCCACAGGGACAUGGAGGAGCUAUGCCCAGAGAGGAGCUCCCCAUCACAGUGCAGGUCACCGCGCUGAGGGAUUGCAGCUAUUGCAAAUGGCGUCCAGUCAGGAUCGGGCCCUGUGAUGGCCGGGCUGGAGUGAAGUGUGAUGUUUCCUUUUCUCUCAAGAAAACUUCUAGCUGAUAAAAGGCAAACAAAUUCCAGUGUAAAUUUUCCUAGGAUUAUUUACAAUGUUCUUUUGGAAGAAGAGAUAAAUAGCUAGGGGCCUUACAUGUCUUCCCUUACAGCAGUAAUCAGCCACUGAAAUAAAUGAGUUGUCAAGAAAAGAACAUGAGAAAAGUCCUCAAAAUUUUCACCCCUGCACAAGUGCUUGGAUGACACUUGUGCUUCUGUCUUUUACUUGCCUCACUCUUCCAGACACCCCUGGCAUGAGCAUCCUUCUGCUCAUGUCUUGGAUUUUUUUCUGCACCCCCUCCCACAGUCCUGAGGCAGUGCCCAGGCAGGUGUCUUGCCUGCCAAAAAUGACCUCUGGAAAUAUUUAGUAAACAAGGACCAAAGGUCUGAUGCAGAGACUCCAUCUUUGGAUGUAAACAAUCCACUGUGCUGCAGAUGAACAAAAUUAAAGCAGUCUGAAGUUUACCUGGGGAAGAAACCAACAUGAACACUAACACAGAUCUCAUCUCUGAGUGUGUGGGGGCUCCUGCUAUGGCCUACACUCAGAAGAGAAGCUGUGUCUGUGGCAUUAAAGAAAUUUGUGAAUCAGCACAACGGAAGAACAAAAAAACAGCCUUUGUUCUUCUUACCAGUGUGGCAAGGUACCUGAUGGGGCUUUCCAAAGGACUCUGGCUCCUGCUUCAGUUUCUGGAGGAAAACUUGAUCAGAAGUGCACUGCUGGAAGACUUGCUCCUAAGGAGGCUCCACAAGGACAGAAAUGGCAGGUUCAAGCUGAGACUGGAACAUGGCUGAUACAAGCACUGGACAAAUUUGCUGAGCUCUGUUGGGGAGAGCCAUGCUCACACCUCUGUAAGGUUACACAGGAUAAACUCACAGCAGGAAGGCAGAGCAAGUUGUAGAAGAGUCAGUGGUAGUGACUUCUCUGCCCUUUAAGCCGUAUGUUUUAGCGCAUCUUCUGUUCAGUGUAUAACUCUCUGAUCCAGUCAGUCACCAAAAAGGCAGGGCUUCAUCCUGAACCCUAUGAUUUCCCCCCAACUUUCUCCUCCACCACUUGGACAAUCCCCCAGACUCUUUCAACAAGCACCAGCCACCUCUUCACACUAAGCUUCCUUGGCCUUUCUGUCAGCUCAGAUCAUCAGCAUCAAGGACUUUCUGCCUGCCCUUAUUCUUUUAUCACCCUCUUUAUCUUUCCUUGCCUUUCUCUACCUGUAGAUGUUAUCCAUGCUGCACUCUCAUUCACAGAUCUUUUGCCUUGCAUUCCUCUAGCUAUUCCUGCCCUGUACCCCAAAUCCCAGCUGAUCCACACCAGCUGCUCUUUGCUAUGUCUCACACAGCAGGGCAGCUCUAAUGGGAACCCUCCUACCUGGUUAACUUUCUCCUCUAUAAAUGCAUUGUUUCCCAUUUAGUUCUGCUCGUUUCCUAGACUUACUACUCCAGCUCUGCACAGUUAAAUCUCAGACUCAGUCACAAUCACCUCUUUGCCACAUUUGGCUCAUUCCUCAGACCCUUCUGCCUCCUCCAGCCCCCACUUCAGCUGUCAUACAGGAUUUCACCCAGUUCUUCCAUAAGAAAAUGACAAACCAUGAUCUUCCUCUUCUACCAGCUUUGCCUUCUGUUUCCUCUUGCCCUCCUACAACUCCUUCCCCAUUCUUCUCUUCUACUUAUGAAAAACUUCCUAUGUGGCUCUCUUCCUUUCUUUUAUUUGCCACUGAGCCAGUCUUACUCUACCUCCUGCCUUUCCUUACAGCUGCUCUUGCCCUCUUGCUCUCUCUGUGCCUUGACCUCUGACACCCCUCUGCCUCUUUACUCUCAUAGCACAAAUACCAUUCCAUCUCUUUCCUCUCAAAAUAUUCUCAUCUUAAAACAUUCUUUUAUCUUAAAACAUUUAUUUUCCCCUAUAAAUACCAUGUCUUCUCUUCUCCUCCCUCUCUCACCAACCUCUGUGAAUAUGCCAUUUACAGACGUUGCCUGGAGUCCUCCCCACUAGUUCACUGCUGCUUCCUCUCCUUUGCAACCACAGCUAAAAUUUUACUUUAUGUACUGGGUAAUCUUCAGCACAGUCUGAAUACUCUGUUCUCACCUGCUGCAGCACACUGGCUACCUGCAGUAGUCUCUUGUGCUGUUUAAACUUGAAGCAGUGUCUCUCUUCAGCUACCAUGGUGUUACUGACUUCUACUGCACCACCUUUGAAUCUGCUCCUUUUGCAUGCCCUCCAGAAGACACUUUUAUUCUCCCGGAUCUGCUGGGGUUCAUGGGGCUUUUCUCUUUUUUUGUAUUUCACUCCUUGAUAAUUUCAAGUGCAAACAUAGAUUCCGCUCUGAUCUCCAUGUAGCAAUUUCCAAGCUCACUCCUCUAACACAGACUUGUCUUCCUAGGUCCAUACUCACAGUAUCUCUAAUAUUUCUUCAUGGACACACAUAUAAGAAACUCGGCUUAUAGUAGUUAAAACAGAGUUCCUAAUUGUCUUCUUCCUUCUUUACUGUAUGCUCUCUUCAGUAAUUCCCCUCUAGAUCAUCACAGACAAUGCUAUUACUUUUCUCAUUGUUCUCAUCCAGAACCAGAGCAACAUUUUCAUCUCAUAUCUCUCACCAUGUAUAUAGAUCCAGGGGAUGUCUAAGGUUUGCAUAUCCUUUCACUAUCCAGGCUCUCACCACCCCUACCUUUAUUACCACCAUAUUUCUUUUUCUGACCUUUACAAAUGUGAACUUGCCCUCCACGUAUCCAUUUAGGAUGUUGCUGGAAAUAUAAUUUUCCUAACACAUCACUCUGACCACGUCAUUUCUCUUAGCAGCUGUAGACUGCUGUCCCCAUAUCUAUCUCAUUAGUGUAAUAUAUUUGUCUUCAUUAAGGAAAUGUCAACUUCUUCCUACAGCCAACCAAAGAGGUCAAUCCCCAUCACCUACUUACUAAUAUUUCAAGCAGACAUGACCCAUGAUUUUUCUGGUGCCAUCCCUCAGUCUUUGGAAGACCAUCCCAUAAACAUCCGCACUUUUUAUUCAUUAUCCUUCUUUGCAACUGUACCUGUGUAGGAAUGCCACAUUUUGUAGCACUCACAGGAAUGUGGUUUGCUUCCUGGUGUUCUAAAGCCACUACCGCUCACACUGAACAUAAUUACUUUGUAGUCUCCUUGUACUAUCUCAUAAGGCUGCGUUCACUGCCAAUAUUUAAAGUGCAGCCACAUGUCAAAAGGGCAGGGACAUUUCUCUGAUCCAUGAUUUCUGAUCCAUGAUUAAGGCUCGUAAAUCUGAGGGUAGAAUGCAAACUGGCAUUAAUAAUAGUGAACGAAAUCCCUAUUAUACUGCUACUGAGCUGAGGUAUGAGAGAUUUAGCCCCUUGCCUCAGGUCAUGAAGAAGGACAAUGGCAGAGCUUGGACUGAUUUCUGGCUUUGUAAGCCCCUGCCCUAACUGCAGUACUACCUUUCUUUCAUCUAUUUUGGUACUUAUCUACACAGGAUUAUGAUUUCAGCUGGCUCAGCUGGGCAGUUCUGACUAUUUAUUUAUAAAAGAAUGUAGGCCUAAUGAGAAAGCAAAUGGAUACAUUUCAAUUUUUUUUUUUUUUCUCUGAUUUCUCUCCUGUAGGGAAAAUGUGUUAGUUUAUAUUCUUUUCUUUUAAGUGGAUUCUAUUCCAAAUGACCUGUAAAGGGAACUUGGAUUCCAGAAUCCACAUUAUUUAUUUAUUCACUCCUUAAAAACUAAGAAAAAACAUCUCAUUUCUUUCUUUUGGUCCUAAAGAGGUAAAUGUGUAGUUAAGAGUUCCAGCAGCAGUUUGUGAGCAAUGAGCCAUUAAGUAACUCACAUUAUGAGUUACUGUCAUUCUUUUUGCUAAACCUACAAAAAAGAAAGCUUCUUAUCUAUAAAGGUUCUGCAAUAGUUAAUGAACUCAUUUCCCCUACUGGUUCUGCAAUAGUUAAUGAACUCAGUCCCUUCUUGAAGCUUUUCUAAAUGCACAGAAAUACUUUUUCAAUGAGAAAAAGCAUAUUAAUAUGGAUUUUUAUUGCAGGAGAUGACAAAAUAGUCCAGACCAUUUCAUCUCUAUUAAAGUAAAAUUAUCUUUCAAAUUUUUAUUUUUACAGUGAAUAGAACACAACUACACUCAUAUUAAAUCUUUCCUCCACAGCUUUUGUAAAUUUUUAGCAGUAGGCAGAAAGGAUAAAAAUGCUGAGAUUUCUCAAAAGGAUUUGGAUGUUCAAUUAAAUGAACAGGAAUUAAGCAUGCAGUCCUGCAGGCAGCUCUGCAAAUAUCAGUUUCUCUUGAGAAGGGCAUGAUCCUGUCAUUUUUACUCAGGCAAAAUUUCCAUUUGUCUUCACUGGCAAAUUUGUUUGAAAGCCAACAGUUUGAUUGCAAUUUGCCCUUUAAAAAGUCAUAAUCAAAAUCAGGUGCUGUUCUGUUAAAUUACAUGUAUGUUCUUAGUAUUUUUAGCAGAUAUAUAUUAUCGAACUAAUUAUCUCAGAUGUGUCAGAGGAGUGUGUCAGGUUCUUAUUACUUGUGGCAAAUAAACUUUUUAAUGAAUUGCUAUUUAAAUUUGAUGCAAUUAAAAUAUUAAAUUGCUUAUUCAAAAUAUGAUGGGCCAAAUCCUCCUGGAACACAUACGCAUGAACCAGUGCUUUCAUCCAGUAAAGGAUUUUAGAAAAUCCCUGAACAAGAGGAUAGGUUUGCUGUAUCUCAGUUGUUUGACUUCAGUCUUACAUCAACUGACUAAGAAUAAUUUCAGCAUCGAAAACUGCAAUACUGAGUACCUGGAUGACCUAAGAUUCAACUCCAGUGCUGUCUAUUGCCUGAAUUUCAGUGGAUGCCUCCAGCAGAACUCCAGCUGUGACAGGAGGGAGCACAGACCUUGCACUGGCCUUUCUACCCAGGGACAAGUUUAACCUCAAAGGAAACACUAAAGGCCUGAACUUGCUGCAUCACCAUAUUCAAUAAAACAUUUACUAUUGACUUCUCUAGGAUAAGAAUCCAAACUUCAAUAAAGUCCCUUUUUUAAUGAGUCCAUUUGGAAAACAGCUGGGAUUUCAAGCACAUAUUUUAAACAAAGGAUUUGAGUCUUUAAUGUAUAAAGGAUACAUGAAAAAAAUGGCUGUCCUAAUUUACCUGUCAAAACCAUUGCACUUUAAAAGUAAAAUCUAGAGCAUUGCAAGGUAUUGAAAGAAUUUUUACAAAAAUAAAUAAAAAUUUGCUCUUUGCAGCUAGAUAUAGCUGCAAGUAGCCUCUCUCA